CCUACGGGAGGCAGCAGUAGGGAAUAUUGCUCAAUGGGGGAAACCCUGAAGCAGCAACGCCGCGUGGAGGAUGAAGGUUUUCGGAUUGGAAACUCCUUUUGUUAGAGAAGAUAAUGACGGUAUCUAACGAAUAAGCACCGGCUAACUCCGUGCCAGCAGCCGCGGUAAUACGGAGGGUGCAAGCGUUACUCGGAGUCACUGGGCGUAAAGAGCGCGUAGGCGGGAUAGCAAGUCAGAUGUGAAAUCCUAUGGCUUAACCAUAGAACUGCCUUUGAAACUGUUAUUCUAGAGUAUGGGAGAGGUAGGUGGAAUUCUUGGUGUAGGGGUAAAAUCCGUAGAGAUCAAGAAGAAUACUCAUUGCGAAGGCGACCUGCUAGAACAUAACUGACGCUGAUGCGCGAAAGCGUGGGGAGCAAACAGGAUUAGAUACCCGUGUAGUC
rnacentral:rRNA from 1 species